AUUGAACGCUGGCGGCAGGCCUAACACAUGCAAGUCGAGCGAGCGGCGGACGGGUGUGUAAAGUCUGGGAGACUGUCUGAUGGAGGGGGAGAAAUAUAGGAAAAGGGAGCGAAAACCGCUCACCAUCAGAUGUGCCCCGAUGGGGGUGGCUAGAGGGGGGGGGAACGGCUCACAGAGGCGACGAUCCCUAGCUGGUCUGAGAGGAUGAGCAGCCACACUGGAACUGAGACACGGUCCAGACUCCUACGGGAGGCAGCAGUGGGGAAUAUUGCACAAUGGGCGCAAGCCUGAUGCAGCCAUGCCGCGUGUGUGAAGAAGGCCUUCGGGUUGUAAAGCACUUUCAGCGGGGAGGCGUUACCCGCAGAAGAAGCACCGGCUAACUCCGUGCCAGCAGCCGCGGUAAUAC
rnacentral:rRNA from 1 species